UCAAAGAUCCCUUCGGGAUGAUUUGUUGGACGCUAGCGGCGGAUGGGUGAGUAACACGUGGGCAAUCUGCCCUAAAGACUGGGAUACCACUUGGAAACAGGUGCUAAUACCGGAUAACAACAUGAAUCGCAUGAUUCAAGUUUGAAAGGCGGCGCAAGCUGUCACUUUAGGAUGAGCCCGCGGCGCAUUAGCUAGUUGGUGGGGUAAAGGCCUACCAAGGCAAUGAUGCGUAGCCGAGUUGAGAGACUGAUCGGCCACAUUGGGACUGAGACACGGNCCAAACUCCUACGGGAGGCAGCAGUAGGGAAUCUUCCACAAUGGACGCAAGUCUGAUGGAGCAACGCCGCGUGAGUGAAGAAGGUUUUCGGAUCGUAAAGCUCUGUUGUUGGUGAAGAAGGAUAGAGGCAGUAACUGGUCUUUUAUUUGACGGGUAAUCAACCAGAAAGUCACCGGCUAACUACGUGCCAGCAAGCCGCGGUAAUACCGUAGGUGGCAAGCGUUGUCCCGGAUUUAUUGGGCCGUAAAGCGAGCGCAGGCGGAAUGAUAAAGUCUGAUGGUGAAAGCCCACGGCUCAACC
rnacentral:rRNA from 1 species